UACGGAGGGUGCAAGCGUUAUCCGGAUUUACUGGGUUUAAAGGGUGCGUAGGUGGCCUGAUAAGUCAGUGGUGAAAUCUCUCGGCUUAACCGAGGAGCUGCCAUUGAUACUGUCGGGCUUGAAUACGGUUGAAGUAGGCGGAAUAAAUCAUGUAGAGGUGAAAUUCUUAGAUAUGAUUUAGAACACCGAUUGCGAAGGCAGCUUACUAAACCGCAAUUGACACUGAGGCACGAAAGCGUGGGGAUCAAACAGG
rnacentral:rRNA from 1 species